AAAUCUUCAGAUAAAGCCUGAAGCUUACUCCAGAAAGUCUGAAGAGACUGCAAGACUUGAGAUCGGGUGAGGUUAAACGUACUUUCAGGGUAGGGGUAAAAUCCUGUAAUCCCGGAAGGACGACCAGUGGCGAAAGCGUUUAACUAGAACGAAUCUGACGGUAAGGAACGAAGGCUAGGGUAGCAAACCGGAUUAGAUACCCGGGUAGUCCUAGCUGUAAACAUUGCCCAUUUGAUGUUGCUUUCCCGUUGAGGGAAGGCAGUGUCGGAGCGAAGGUGUUAAAUGGGCCGCUUGGGAAGUAUGGUCGCAAGACUGAAACUUAAAGGAAUUGGCGGGGGAGCACCGCAACGGGAGGAAUGUGCGGUUUAAUUGGAUUCAACGCCGGAAAACUCACCGGGAACGACCUGUGCAUGAGAGUCAACUUGACGAGCUUACUCGAUAGCAGGAGAGGUGGUGCAUGGCCGUCGUCAGCUCGUACCGUAGGGCGUUCACUUAAGUGUGAUAACGAGCGAGACCCACAUCUUUAAUUGCAAAUGUAUAUGGGAAUAUGCAUGCACUUUAGAGAAACCGCCAGCGCUAAGCUGGAGGAAGGAGUGGUCGACGGCAGGUCAGUACGCCCCGAAUUUCCCGGGCUACACGCGCAUUACAAAGAACGGGACAAUACGUUGCAACCUCGAAAGAGGGAGCCAAUCGCGAAACCCGUCCAUAGUUAGGAUUGAGGGCUGUAC
rnacentral:rRNA from 1 species